rnacentral:rRNA from 1 species
GACGAGCUCUCCAAACGUUAUUCGGUAUCACUGGGCUUAAAGAGUUCGUAGGCGGCCUAGCAGGUCAGGUGUGAAAUCCCACAGCUCAACUGUGGAAUAGCGCUUGAAACCGCUGGGCUUGAGGGAGAUAGAGGUAGGCGGAACAGAUGGUGGAGCGGUGAAAUGCGUUGAUAUCAUCUGGAACACCGGUGGCGAAAGCGGCCUACUGGGUCUUUUCUGACGCUGAGGAACGAAAGCUAGGGUAGCGAACGGGAUUAGAUACCCCGGUAGUCCUAGCCGUAAACGAUGAGCACUAGUCCGAGGGAACCCUCACAUUUUCUCGGACGUAGCGAAAGUGUUAAGUGCUCCGCCUGGGGAGUAUGGUCGCAAGGCUGAA